AUUCACGUAUUCAUCCGCUCCUUUGGCGUGGCUCCCAAGCUUCAUUGUUUUCGGUACUUUGCACAGUGUACGUCCGAGGUGCUGAAAUCCUAAUCCUUUUCACACUGAAACAAUUGGAAACAGAAUGGCCGAGAAAGGGGCUGAAGAUGGGGAAAAGCUGCUGAAGGUGGAUGGAGUGAGAGAGAAGCUUUUAAAAUCAUAUGCUGAUAGAUUGAGACCCAGAAGAGAUUGGAGGGGCAAUUGGGCGAGUUCAUGAGAAUCAUCAUUAAGGCUCUACCUGCAAUCAAUAGCGAGGUCUCCAGAGAGUCUGAGUGCAGCUUCUGCCUUGAGAACUGAGGCACACAGAAGCCCAACUAGACCCAGUAAGGAAAGGCAUCUUUGGAACUCUACAAGGCACCAACCCUCAGAGCCCCGCAGCAAGCUAUAACUGAGAGUAAUUUCACGAGGAUGUCACAAAGAGAGAAAAGUAUCCCAGUAACCAGGAUCUGUGGCCAUAUGAAUGCUCCAAGUGAGAUCCCACUUUUCUGAAUAACCUUGUACGGGGAGAACGUAUACCUUGUGGGUCUGUGUGUAUGUUUGUAUUUCCAGAAAAACUAUUCUCGCUACAUGCCUACUUAGUAAUAACACCUUUUCUGAAAAGCUAAUGAAGUCUGACUGAUAAGUCUACAAGAGGCACACUAGAUGGUGGCUUGAAAACCCCAACGCUUCAGAGCUAACCCAAGAAUUCUGAAGGAAGAGUUGGCGGCUGCCUUCUGGGGACCCGACCUCCCAACACUAGUAGCAUUUGGGGGAAAUAACCCCCAGAAGCAGUGUUAUACUAGCAUGAGGCGUCUCCUGGAAACCUAACAUCAGUUAUUUCAAAUAAUCCAUCAAAAUAUGGAUUAAUCAGCACCCUAAAGUGCUCCGUCCUUUCCUUUUUCUCAUCCUAGAAGAUAAGAUGAAAAAACCCACAUAUCAGAAAGCUUUAUCUUUGUCUUUCCUCUUUUUCUCGUUCCCACCUCUCUCACCUGACCCCAUUUAGAAUGUGGAAAUAUAAAAAAGCAAGAGGAAAACAUUACCGUCAUUCACCUCUGAUACAAUUUUUCUCUGGCUCUUCCAAUGUUAAUUACAAAAUGAGUUCUGAGUAAGAGCACAAAAGACUUUGGGGGGAACACUGCAUAUAAUUGUGCUAGAGAGUUGGAGGAGUAAGAAACUUUUUGUCAUAGAAGGCACAUAAUCAGAGGCAUCUAGGUAGCACCAUGAAUAGCUAUUGUGAG
rnacentral:lncRNA from 1 species